GCUUGUCUCAAAGAUUAAGCCAUGCAUGUCUAAGUGUAAAUAAGUCUAUACUGUGAAACUGCGAAUGGCUCAUUAAAUCAGUUAUCGUUUAUUUGAUGAUCUCUUACUACUUGGAUAACCGUAGUAAUUCUAGAGCUAAUACAUGCACAAAAUCCCGACUUACGAAGGGAUGUAUUUAUUAGAUACAAACCAACAUCGUGGUGAUUCAUAAUAACUUUGCGAAUCGUAUGCCUCACGGCGACGAUGAAUCAUUCAAAUUUCUGCCCUAUCAACUUUCAACCGUAAGGUAGUGGCCUACGGUGGUGGUAACGGGUGACGGAGGAUUAGGGUUCGAUUCCGGAGAGGGAGCCUGAGAAAUGGCUACCACAUCCAAGGAAGGCAGCAGG
rnacentral:rRNA from 1 species